AGCCUUCAUGAGACUCAAAGAAGAAUAAACACAUCAAGCCAAACAACCCAAUUUAUAAACAAAGAAUCCUUUGCUGAAACCACUCACUGCUAUGGAUUAUUAAAAGUCAUGCAUAUCCUUGAGAAAAAAAAAAUGGAAGAGCUAACAUGAAUACAAGUAAUCACACACACAAGCUUUAGCAACUGUGUGACAUGACUUCCUGGCAGUCACUGAGAAAGCAACAUGCAGAAAUGGCAUUUAAAUUGAAACACAGAAUAUUGGUCAUUUGUGCACGUGCAUUAAAUGCACAGGAGUCUGCAUGUGGGAUGACUGGCCCCAUUCACACAGAC